AGCUUGACAUGCCGCGAAUCCUCUUGAAAGAGAGGGGUGCCUUCGGGAACGCGGACACAGGUGGUGCAUGGCUGUCAUCAGCUCGUGCCGUAAGGUGUUGGGUUAAGUCCCGCAACGAGCGCAAUCCUCGUGUUUAGUUGCCAUCAUUGAAUUUGGAACCCUGAACAGACUGCCGGUGAUAAGCCGGAGGAAGGUGAAGAUGACGUCAAGUCAUCAUGCCCCUUAUGCU
rnacentral:ncRNA from 1 species